GCUAACCCGUGGUCGUCUAUUGCAUCUUAGAGACUUGGGGUCAGGUGAGGAGAGUGGAAUGCCUAGUGUAGCGGUGAAAUGCGUAGAUAUUAGGAGGAACACCAGUUGCGAAGGCGGCUCUCUGGACUGUAACUGACGCUGAGGCACGAAAGCGGGGGGAGCAAACAGGAUUAGAUACCCUGGUAGUCCACGCUGUAAACGAUGAGUACUAGGUGUCGGGGGUUACCCCC
rnacentral:rRNA from 1 species